GAUGAACGCUAGCGAUAGGCUUAACACAUGCAAGUCGAGGGGCAUCACGAGGUAGCAAUACUUUGGUGGCGACCGGCGUACGGGUGCGUAACACGUAUGCAACCUUCCUGUAAGUGUGGGAUAGCCUCCUGAAAGGGAGAUUAAUACCUCAUGAUAUGUAUUUGCUGCAUGGCAUUUACAUUAAACAUUUAUGGCUUACAGAUGGGCAUGCGUUCCAUUAGGCAGUUGGUGUGGUAACGGCUCACCAAACCUACGAUGGAUAGGGGUUCUGAGAGGAAGGUCCCCCACACUGGAACUGAGACACGGUCCAGACUCCUACGGGAGGCAGCAGUGAGGAAUAUUGGUCAAUGGGCGCGAGCCUGAACCAGCCACGUCGCGUGAAGGAUGACGGCCUUAUGGGUUGUAAACUUCUUUUACAGGGGAAUAAAGUGAGUCACGUGUGAUUUUUUGCAUGUACCCUGUGAAUAAGCAUCGGCUAACUCCGUGCCAGCAGCCGCGGUAAUACGGAGGAUGCGAGCGUUAUCCGGAUUUAUUGGGUUUAAAGGGUGCGUAGGCGGGAUAUUAAGUCAGCGGUGAAAGUUUUCGGCUCAACCUUAAAAUUGCCGUUGAAACUGUUAUUCUUGAGUGCAGUAGAGGUAGGCGGAAUUCGUUGUGUAGCGGUGAAAUGCGUAGAUAUAACGAGGAACUCCGAUUGCGUAGGCAGCUUACUAUAUUGCUACUGACGCUGAGGCACGAAAGUGUGGGUAUCAAACAGG
rnacentral:rRNA from 1 species